UAUAAGCUUGCAAUCCCACCAACAA
rnacentral:piRNA from 1 species